rnacentral:lncRNA from 1 species
ACUAGACGUCAUGUUGGGGAGAUCUAAAAUCGAAAAUACUAUGUAAAUAAUCCAUUACCUUUGAUUCUCUUCAUCAGAUGUCACUUCCAGGUAUCACAGGUCCAUAACGAAUGUAGUUUUGUUCAAAAAAGCUCAUCAUUUAUAUCCAAAAAGCUCUGUGUUGUUAGCACAUGAUCUAAGCCAGCCGGACUUCUCGUCAUGAACGAGGGGAAAAAAUAUAUUUACGUUCGUUCAAACAUGUCAAACGUUGUAUAGCAUAAAUCAUUAGUGCCUUUUUUAACCAGAACAUGAAUAAUAUUCGAGGUGGACGAAUGCAUUCUCUUUUAUAACGUAUUGGAACGAGGGUACCC